UUGGUUCUUUAAAUGGGGACUUGUAUCAACGGCACCACGAGGGUUAGACUGUCUCCUUUUUCAAAUCAGUGAAAUUAAUCUCCCCGUGAAGAAGCGGGGAUACUCAUAUAAGACGAGAAGACCCCAUGGAGCUUCAAACCCAACUACACCCCUAGCUCUUAUAGCCCCACAACCCCCCCCCCC
rnacentral:rRNA from 1 species